rnacentral:rRNA from 1 species
CCUUACCCACCUUUGACAUGUACGGAAUCCUUUAGAGAUAGAGGAGUGCUCGAAAGAGAGCCGUAACACAGGUGCUGCAUGGCUGUCGUCAGCUCGUGUCGUGAGAUGUUGGGUUAAGUCCCGCAACGAGCGCAACCCUUGCCAUUAGUUGCUACGAAAGGGCACUCUAAUGGGACUGCCGGUGACAAACCGGAGGAAGGUGGGGAUGACGUCAAGUCCUCAUGGCCCUUAUAGGUGGGGCUACACACGUCAUACAAUGGCUGGUACAGAGGGUUGCCAACCCGCGAGGGGGAGCUAAUCCCAUAAAGCCAGUCGUAGUCCGGAUCGCAGUCUGCAACUCGACUGCGUGAAGUCGGAAUCGCUAGUAAUCGCGGAUCAGAAUGUCGCGGUGAAUACGUUCCCGGGUCUUGUACACACCG